rnacentral:rRNA from 1 species
GGUGAGUAACACGUGGAUAACCUACCUAUAAGACUGGGAUAACUUCGGGAAACCGGAGCUAAUACCGGAUAAUAUAUUGAACCGCAUGGUUCAAUAGUGAAAGACGGUUUUGCUGUCACUUAUAGAUGGAUCCGCGCCGCAUUAGCUAGUUGGUAAGGUAACGGCUUACCAAGGCAAUGAUGCGUAGCCGACCUGAGAGGGUGAUCGGCCACACUGGAACUGAGACACGGUCCAG